GCAGGGUCCCGCGAUGCUGAGGUGAGUGCUUGUCCCUCUGUGCGCGGACCCUGCUGGCGACCUUCAGGGCACGGGUCAGCCCAACCAUCGACCACGACUUCUGUCCCGGGGACCCGGACAGGCCCCUUCCCCGACUGACAGCAUGCCCUGCCCCGGGGACCCGGACAGGCCCUUUCAGCCGCGAGCGUGCUCCGCCCCGGGGACCCGGGAAGGCUCCGUGCUGAUCCCCCCAAACCUAGUCUCCCUCCUGCAGUAUUCACCCCGCAUCCCUAUACUCCCCACCCUGGGGGUCAUUCCUUCUGCCCCCACCCCACUCCACUUUGAGAGUCCCUCCUUACAGGGCCCAUGCACGCCCCAGGGCUUCUCUGCAGGUCACCCCACAGGUCAGCUGGUGUCCUGGGAUAGUCUUGGCCCUCUUCCUCCUGGUAAUCCGAGGCCCUUCAAGGAGCUUGACUUACUCCUCUGUAAAUGCUCCUCCCCAUCCCCCCCAGGUCCUUACAGGUACUGCCCCUCGUUUUGCAUUUUAGUAGCCAUUUCCCAAACCCCUCAUUUUAUUGGAUGUAACUUCUUUUCACCCUGCCCUAUUUU
rnacentral:lncRNA from 1 species